AGGAUGCUAUGUCUAAAAAUGGAUCAAUCUACAAAUCUCAAGCAUCUGCCGUGAAAGCUCAUGGAGCCCCAAAUUGCAAGGGAAGUGGCUUUAGAUUGUGUAAUGGACAAUAUGCUACUUGAAUGGAAGCUUAAGAAAAUUCCAAUCUGAGUAUGACUGUAGUUGGAGGUGUCUUUGCCUAUCAGCUCAUUUUUCAUUCUUUGUCCUCUCCAUUUCUGCUCUUGCUCAUUUUCUACCACCUUCAGCUUAAAGUUUUCACAAUUCACUUUGAAUAAUUUUUGCUCCUCCCAUUUUUUCAAUGGCGAUGGAUUUCCAGGCGAGCAUCUGUCACUUGAUAUGCUUUAUGCCGAAGAUAAUGGGUCUACAUGUAUGUGAGAUAGCUGAGAAGUAUGGUGUUGCUUCAUAUUAUCCAAGGAAUCCAGGGAACAUAUGCUGCACCCCCAAGGAUAUGAGUGCAGCGUCGCAGGGGGAUCAUGAGGAGCUAGCGAAGAUAAUCACCAAGGCCUUUUCUGUUUAAUUGGCUGAGAACUGCCUAAGAAUUCGCUGCUUGAUUCUUGACAGAAAAGUCUUAUGCUGAACUAGGCUGAGUAGUUACAUGUACAUGCUACACACUAUAAUUUAGAUAAUCGGUUAGACCUCACCUCAUGUAACUUAAAAGGCUUGUUCUUGCAGAUGCUAAGUAAAAAGAUGAUGCACUACUAAGCUUUUGUUCAAACAAGCUUAUGCUUCAUGUGUUCCGUCAUUCAUUUGACAC